rnacentral:rRNA from 1 species
AGUGAACGCUGGCGGUAGGCCUAACACAUGCAAGUCGAACGGCAGCACAGUAAGAGCUUGCUCUUACGGGUGGCGAGUGGCGGACGGGUGAGGAAUACAUCGGAAUCUACUUUUUCGUGGGGGAUAACGUAGGGAAACUUACGCUACUACCGCAUACGACCUACGGGUGAAAGCAGUGGAUCUUCGGACCUUGCGCGAUUGAAUGAGCCGAUGUCGGAUUAGCUAGUUGGCGGGGUAAAGGCCCACCAAGGCGACGAUCAGUAGCUGGUCUGAGAGGAUGAUCAGCCACACUGGAACUGAGACACGGCCCAGACUCCUACGGGAGGCAGCAGUGGGGAAUAUUGGACAAAGGGCGCAAGCCUGAUCCAGCCAUACCGCGUGUGUGAAGAAGGCCUUCGGGUUGUAAAGCCCUUUUGUUGGGAAAGAAAAGCAGCACGUUAAUACCCCGCUGUUCUGACGGUACCCAAAGAAUAAGCACCGGCUAACUUCGUG